rnacentral:rRNA from 1 species
UCGGGAAUUUUGGGCAAUGGGCGCAAGCCUGACCCAGCGACGCCGCGUGGAGGACGAAGCCCUUCGGGGUGUAAACUCCUUUAAGCAGGGACGAACGCAGACGGUACCUGCAGAAUAAGCCCCGGCUAACUACGUGCCAGCAGCCGCGGUAAUACGUAGGGGGCGAGCGUUGCCCGAAUUUACUGGGCUUAAAGCGCACGUAGGCGGCUUCGUAAGUCUGGUGGGAAAUCUCACGGCUCCACCGGGAGG